ensembl:lncRNA
GCGCAGUCGGUGCACUGGGAGGACUCCAGGCUGCAGGUAUUUGCAGUCAGAUCAAAAAACGCAGACAACAGCGCAGAUAUAACGACAGUCUGAGAGGAUAUUAUCGUCCAUCUCCUCCCGUCGGCGCAAUGUGAGCGGAUAUUCGCUUGAGUCCGUGAAAGUUUAUUCACGCUGUUUUUCUCGUUUUCUUUCUGUCCUGCCAAACUUAAAAAUAGCCCACACUUGGAGCUGAUUGAUGCGCGGUGCCGGAGGAGCGGUUUUUCUCGCCAGUAGUGCGGUCAGAGUGGGCUGCUGUGCGCGGCGGAGCGGUGCGCACUCGGUUUUUUACGCGUAAAAGGCGAGAAAAGAGUCAGCGGCAGCAGGCGGAACCGGGGGGAUCCGAGACGGACGAAUGGAAAUUACAAAACGACAGUAUUGGAAUUAAAACUACAAUGUCUUGAUCGCGGACUGCACCUGCUCGGACAGAGAGGAGACGCUUUGAAACACGCCAGAUAGAACAAGGGAUGGACUUGAACUCUGUUGUUGAGCCGUAUCCCUGCAUCCACAUCUCAGCAAUUAACAGAGCUGUUGUGCAGGCUCCCUGAUCAUCUGACAGCUUUCAGAGACAAGAGGAGGACGAUCCACAGAGAUUACCGCCUGUGUUCCAGCGCAGGCCCCAGAACUUAUCCCGUGGUACACUACAAGUCACCACUCCAUUAUUUAUACCCUCUACAAACAUCAAAAAAGGUUUUCUCGGCCAAGUGUCAUGCGGUGUCGAUUGUAUUCGUGAGUGCAAUAACACAGGAAGCUUCAAAUGGAC